GACGAACGCUGGCGGCGUGCUUAACACAUGCAAGUCGAACGGAAAGGCCCUGCUUUUGUGGGGUGCUCGAGUGGCGAACGGGUGAGUAACACGUGAGUAACCUGCCCUUGACUUUGGGAUAACUUCAGGAAACUGGGGCUAAUACCGGAUAGGAGCUCCUGCUGCAUGGUGGGGGUUGGAAAGUUUCGGCGGUUGGGGAUGGACUCGCGGCUUAUCAGCUUGUUGGUGGGGUAGUGGCUUACCAAGGCUUUGACGGGUAGCCGGCCUGAGAGGGUGACCGGCCACAUGGGGACGGAGAUACGGCCCAGACUCCUACGGGAGGCAGCAGUGGGGAAUAUUGCACAAUGGGCGGAAGCCUGAUGCAGCAACGCCGCGUGCGGGAUGACGGCCUUCGGGUGGUAAACCGCUUUCGCCUGUGACGAAGCGUGAGUGACGGAAAUGGGUAAAGAAGCACCGGCUAACUACGU
rnacentral:rRNA from 1 species